rnacentral:rRNA from 1 species
AGAGUUUGAUCCUGGCUCAGGAUGAACGCUAGCUACAGGCUUAACACAUGCAAGUCGAGGGGCAGCAUGGGGGUUGCUUGCAAUCCCUGAUGGCGACCGGCGCACGGGUGAGUAACGCGUAUCCAACCUGCCCUUGUCCGCGGCACAGCCCGUCGAAAGGCGGAUUAAUGCCGCAUGCGGUCCGAAGACGGCAUCAGAUUCGGACGAAAGGCUUUGGCCGGAGAAGGAUGGGGAUGCGUCCGAUUAGCUAGACGGCGGGGUAACGGCCCACCGUGGCGACGAUCGGUAGGGGUUCUGAGAGGAAGGUCCCCCACAUUGGGACUGAGACACGGCCCAAACUCCUACGGGAGGCAGCAGUGAGGAAUAUUGGUCAAUGGGCGUAAGCCUGAACCAGCCAAGUAGCGUGCAGGACGACGGCCCUACGGGUUGUAAACUGCUUUUGCGCGGGGAUAAAGUGGGGGACGUGUCCCUCAUUGCAGGUACCGCGCGAAUAAGGACCGGCUAAUUCCGUGCCAGCAGCCGCGGUAAUACGGAAGGUCCGGGCGUUAUCCGGAUUUAUUGGGUUUAAAGGGAGCGCAGGCGGUUGGGAAAGCGUGCCGUCAAAUGUCGGGGCUCAACCCCGGAAAGCGGCGCGAACUGUCCGACUUGAGUACGCGGAAGGCAGGCGGAAUUCGUGGUGUAGCGGUGAAAUGCAUAGAUAUCACGAAGAACCCCGAUUGCGAAGGCAGCCUGCCGCAGCGCAACUGACGCUGAGGCUCGAAAGCGCGGGUAUCGAACAGGAUUAGAUACCCUGGUAGUCCGCGCGGUAAACGAUGGACGCCCGCCGUGGGGUAGAUAUAUUCUGCGGCCAAGCGAAAGCGUUAAGCGUCCCACCUGGGGAGUACGCCGGCAACGGUGAAACUCAAAGGAAUUGACGGGGGCCCG